GCUACGGGUGGCAGCAGUGAGGAAUAUUGGUCAAUGGGCGGGAGCCUGAACCAGCCAAGCCGCGUGAGGGAAGAAGGUACAGCGUAUCGUAAACCUCUUUUGUCAGGGAACAAAGGCGGGGACUAGUCCCCGGAUGAGGGUACCUGAAGAAAAAGCAUCGGCUCACUCCGUGCCAGCGGCCGCGGUAAUACGUGGGGGGCAAGCGGUAGCCGGAUUUACUGGGGGUACAGGGAGGUUAGACGGCAGCGCAAGUCGGGAGUGAAAUGCCGGGGCCCAACCCCGGAACUGCUCUGGAAACUGUGCGGCUGGAGUGCAGGGGGGGUAAGCGGAAUUCCUAGUGUAGCGGUGAAAUGCGUAGAUAUUAGGAGGAACAACGGGGGCGAAGGCGGCUUACUGGACUGUAACUGACGUGGAGGCUCGAAAGCGUGGGGAGCAAACAGGAUUAGAUACCCUGGUAGUC
rnacentral:rRNA from 1 species